rnacentral:rRNA from 1 species
ACAUCGGAACGUGCCCAGUAGUGGGGGAUAACCCGGCGAAAGCCGGACUAAUACCGCAUACGACCUACGGGUGAAAGCAGGGGAUCGCAAGACCUUGCGCUAUCGGAGCGGCCGAUGUCAGAUUAGCUUGUUGGCGGGGUAAAAGCCCACCAAGGCGACGAUCUGUAGCUGGUCUGAGAGGACGACCAGCCACACUGGGACUGAGACACGGCCCAGACUCCUACGGGAGGCAGCAGUGGGGAAUUUUGGACAAUGGGCGCAAGCCUGAUCCAGCCAUGCCGCAUGCGGGAAGAAGGCCUC